CCUCCUGUGGCCCAGUGAGCCCACUUUUCUGCAGGUUCUAUUGUGCUGGUUUCCUAGGAUACAUUUCACAUCAUUUCUGACACACACAGAAUUACUCCUCAAACAGAGCAGCGUGGAAACCAGUAGUAUUUGAAACACACAGCAUUAAAAUUAGUCGUUUCAAAGAUACCUGAGUAACUUCGCAGAGGGAGUGACAGAGACCAAAAUUUCGGCUCCUAAUUUGCUCAGAUCUUUUACAUCUGCUGGACGAUAACACCAAGUACAGUUUCUGCAUCCAUAGUUGUUUGGGGAUGUUCAUGUCUGGUUGGAGAAGCAGAAGAGGUAAUUCUGGUGACUCAGGAGAGAAAGACAGACUCCCUGAAGAAGUGUUGAAGCUGGCAGCACUCAGAAAAAUGUAGAAGAUUGGUACCAUAAUUAAGUGCUGAUCAAGCAGACUGGUAUUAUGCAGAUAAACAAUACUGUAACUUAUCUUCAUAAAUAUGGCAGGAAUGCCAGUGUCAGUGACACACAUAAGAAACUCCAGAUCCAGGGAACAAAGAUGGUGGUGCUUAUAAUGCUAAUUCAGCAUU